rnacentral:rRNA from 1 species
AGAAUCAACGCUGGCGGCGUGCCUAACACAUGCAAGUCGCACGAGAAAGGGGAGCAAUCCCUGAGUACAGUGGCGCACGGGUGAGUAACACGUGAAUUAUCUACCUCCGAGUGGGGAAUAACCAAAGAAAUUUUGGCUAAUACCGCAUAACACUUACGAGUCAAAGCAGCAAUGCGCUUGGAGAGGAGUUCGCGGCAGAUUAGCUAGUUGGCGGGGUAAUGGCCCACCAAGGCGAUGAUCUGUA